GAUUUCUGGCUUGAAACAUUAAGCCGGCCACGGUUUCGUGUGUUAGUGCUUGAUGUUCUGGCCAUCCUUCCAAUCGCUAUUCAUCUUUCUUCAUUGAUGGGUGAGUGGUAUUGGAUCUUUUACUUUGAAAAAAUUAGAGUGUUUCAAGCAGGCUUUAUGCUAUGAAUACAUUAGCAUGGAAUAAUAAUUUAGGACUCCUGUUCUAUUUUGUUGGUUUCUAGGACGGAAGUAAUGAUUGAUAGGGAUAGUUGGGGGUGCUAGUAUUCAGAGGCCAGAGGUGAAAUUCUCGGAUUCUCUGAAGACUAACUUAUGCGAAAGCAUU
rnacentral:rRNA from 1 species